AGCAGCCGCGGUAAUUCCAGCUCCAAUAGCGUAUAUUAAAGUUGUUGCAGUUAAAAAGCUCGUAGUUGAAUUUCGGGGUUAGUAGAUUGGUCAUGCCUCUGGUAUGCACUGGUCUUACUGAUUCCUCCUUCCUGAUGAACCGUAAUGCCAUUAAUUUGGUGUUGCGGGGAAACUGGACUGUUACUUUGAAAAAAUUGAGUGUUUAAAGCAGGCUAACGCUUGAAUACAUUAGCAUGGAAUAAUGAAAUAGGACGUUCGAUCUUAUUUUGUUGGUUUCUAGGAUUGACGUAAUGAUUAAUAGGGAUAGUUGGGGGCAUUAGUAUUCAAUUGUCAGAGGUGAAAUUCUUGGAUUUAUUGAAGACUAACUACUGCGAAAGCAUUUGCCAAGGAUGUUUUCAUUAAUCAAGAACGAAAGUUAGGGAUCGAAGACGAUCAGAUACCGUCGUAGUCUUAACCAUAAACUAUAGCCGACUAGGGAUCGGAUGAUGUUAAUUUUUAUGUACUCAUUCGGCGCCUUAAC
rnacentral:rRNA from 1 species